rnacentral:rRNA from 1 species
UCAGAAUCAACGCCGGCGGCGCGCCUAACACAUGCAAGUCGAGCGAGAAAGGGGAGCAAUCCCUGAGUAAAGCGGCGUACGGGUGAGUAACACGUGGAUCAUCUACCUUCUAGUGGGGAAUAACCCUGGGAAACCGGGGCUAAUACCGCAUAAGCACGAGAGUGGAAAGCAGCAAUGCGCUGGAAGAGGAGUCCGCGGCCGAUUAGCUAGUUGGCAGGGUAAAAGCCUACCAAGGCAAAGAUCGGUAGCCGGCCUGAGAGGGCACACGGCCACACUGGCACUGAAACACGGGCCAGACUCCUACGGGAGGCAGCAGUGGGGAAUCUUGCACAAUGGGGGAAACCCUGAUGCAGCGACGCCGCGUGAGCGAUGAAGCCCUUCGGGGUGUAAAGCUCUUUCGGCAGGGAAGAUGAUGACGGUACCUGCAGAAGCAGCUGCGGCUAACUACGUGCCAGCAGCCGCGGUAAUACGUAGGCAGCAAGCGUUGUUCGGAGUUACUGGGCGUAAAGGGUGCGUAGGCGGUUGUUUAAGUUUGGUGUGAAAUCUCCCGGCUCAACUGGGAGGGUGCGCCGAAUACUGAAUGACUAGAGUGCGGGAGAGGAGAGUGGAAUUCCUGGUGUAGCGGUGAAAUGCGUAGAUAUCAGGAGGAACACCGGUGGUGUAGACGGCUCUCUGGACCGUAACUGACGCUGAGGCACGAAGGCGUGGGUAGCAAACAGGAUUAGAUACCCUGGUAGUCCACGCCCUAAACGAUGCAUAUUUGGUGUGGGCAGUUCAGUCUGUCCGUGCCGGAGCUAACGCGUUAAAUAUGCCGCCUGGGGAGUACGGUCGCAAGGCUGAAACUCAAAG